UAAGGAUGAUGCUGCUCUCUUUAACCCGCGUGGCAGACUGUUGACUUCGAGCAGACUCUUUCAUGGUCACAUCUUCCACCAAGUUUCAGUGAGCACAGCCGCCCGAAUCAUUCCUAUAAGGAAAAAACGCUGAGAUGCAUCGGCGUCCUGCAUAUAGUCGUGGGAGUGUUUUGUUCUUUCCUAGGCGUCUGUUUUGCCAUUGAUCUUCUGUCGUUCUUUAAAACCAGCAAUAUCUACCCUCCUUGGCCAGGCGUAUUUGACCCAUACAGUACGAACAAUGCUAGUUACUGGAUGGGAGUGAUUGGCGGAUCUUUGUUCAUCAUCACCGGAAUCUUUGGAGCGAUAGCUAGAAGAAG